rnacentral:rRNA from 1 species
AACGAACGCUGGCGGCAGGCUUAACACAUGCAAGUCGAGCGCCCCGCAAGGGGAGCGGCAGACGGGUGAGUACCGCGUGGGAACGUACCUUUUGGUUCGGAACAACUCCGGGAAACUGGAGCUAAUACCGGAUAAGCCCUAACGGGGAAAGAUUUAUCGCCGAAAGAUCGGCCCGCGUCUGAUUAGCUAGUUGGUGAGGUAACGGCUCACCAAGGCGACGAUCAGUAGCUGGUCUGAGAGGAUGAUCAGCCACACUGGGACUGAGACACGGCCCAGACUCCUACGGGAGGCAGCAGUGGGGAAUAUUGGACAAUGGGCGCAAGACUGAUCCAGCCAUGCCGCGUGAGUGAUGAAGGCCUUAGGGUUGUAAAGCUCUUUUGUCCGGGAAGAUAAUGACUGUACCGGAAGAAUAAGCCCCGGCUAACUUCGUG